GUCCGAGCUUCCCUCUCUCUUUGAACUUCCCAUUUUCGUUCCCAUUCUCCGUUCUUUGACAACCCAUAUUCUUUUUUGCUUCAAGAAUUUCACAUAUUGCUUAUGAAGUUUAGGAAUCAGUUUGGAGGUAUAGAUCUGAAGGAACCAUACAUCCAAUUAUGUCAUUUGCUUUGGAUUAGGAUGGAUUGAAUCAUAUCCAAAAUCAGAACCAGAAUGGGAUUGAGCAAUAUGCAAGCUUCUAUCCAUAUGGAAGGUAUCGAGCCCCUGAAGUUCUGAUCCAAUCGCCAUCAUAAAAUUCCGCAGUUGAUAUCUAGGCGAUGGGUGGUAGGUAUCAUGGCUGAAUUUCUUUCACUUUGCCGUUAUCAAUAUUUUCUUAAAGAUUUGUGAACACGAGUCGCUCUGCUCUUGGGACCCAAACAAGAGGACGACAGCUGACUACUACCUCCUUUCUUUCAGCCAUGCUAUUAUGUUUAUCCAUCGUGCAAGAACUGCACUUACUAGAACACCUCCAUUUGUUACACUGAAGCAGAGGAGCACAAGACGAUACUCUGGAACUUUUUCUGAUACGAAAUCUUUGCGCAGCUUCUCUUAUGCAAGCUAUGUUUUUCUUCAGUUGAUUUACUAAUGUCACCUUAGUUACUAAAAUGUGAUGUCAUACAUUUGAUUUUGUAUUUGGGUUCCAGUGUGGUUGAAUCAGCUGCGUCACCACUAACAGCUGCGACAACCUUCUUUAAAUUCACCGUACCAAAGAUAUGGUUUCGUUGGUCAUCUAAAUGCUCGAGUAAAUUCUGAGACUUAUGGCUUCUUGUUAUUGGCUUUGUGUGUUCAUUAAAUCUAAAUCGUACCAAGUUGCAUGAUUUGGAUGUUAGUUGAUUGUCCUAAGUAUCUUGCGGCAUGGGACUGCGGGAAUAGCUUUCAGCCAAUUCAGGUGUUCACCCAGCUUGUUUCCACCAGGUGGUGCUGCCAACAACACCUUGGUUUUGUGUUUGCUUUUUUGAGGAGCUUCAGGAAAAAAGAAUUGCAUGUGCAUACUUUGAUAGAGGAAAGUCUCCAAAUGAAGCAUAUUAAGACUGCAGGAUUGAUGAAUCAUAGAUGGAGUUCAUGGAGAUGUUUGAAGAGGUGAUAUGAUACAAGUGUCCAAAAGCUUAUAUAACUUCCCUGGCACGGUGAUAGCAUAUCGAAUUCAGUUUAGAUAUUCGAUAUGUUAUUUCGGGUUGCUACAAAAAAAAAAUCAAAAUUUUAUUGGGUUACCAACUUACCAGAAUUUAUUUUUGAAAUCGUACUCAGAGAUUGUACUUUUUUGAAUGUUGGAUAAUUAACAAAAAAAUAUUUUCAAACGUUUCA